ensembl:lncRNA
GUGGCAGCUACAGGGUCACUGAUGUCCCCAAUGGAUGUGGCUCCUCUCCAGCAACAACCCCCCCACCCGCCCUGGCAAGCUGUCCGCUACAGUAUAUCCUCCACCCAUUUCUCAGGCAUUCACAGCGGGCACGGCGAGGCAAGGAGAUGGGCCUCGGGGCCGCAGGGCCUCGUGACCCACUUACAACCCCCCCGAGACUGAUCGGCAUCGGCCUGCCAGUUACAGUUAUGUAACUGAUGCUGGGAAAAGCAAGGAGAAGAAUUACAAGAGUAAAAAAAAAGAAAGGAGUCCAAUGUCUACCAGUGAAGGGGCUCGUCAGAGAGGAUCAUCCCAUCAGAUGGGAUCUGGGCGGGAUGUCGGAUGCUCACACUAAUACCACGAUUCUGCUGCUGUUACACGGUUUAUGAAUCAGCCCCCACUGAGAGACACCUACGCCCAUCACUGCGGGCAAGCACCAUCCCCACCGCGGCUUUCCCCCUCAUCACUCCGCUCCGCUUCUCGAGCUGUGAUCUGAUUGGCUGUUGGAGGGGUGAGGCUCACUGCAGAGGCAAGAACAGCGGGUGCAGGGUGGGGUGGGCUUCCCCCUCUAGGCACGACUCACACACACAUAACCAACCACCCACCUACACACACACACACACACACGCAGGGAAUCCCUCCUCACUGUUUGCCGCAUGUCUCGUUUUCCAUUACACGCCGCCAUCGAAUCGUUCACCGCAUAAUCACGUUGGGAAGCAGUGCGCACCAAAUGUGAUUGAGUGGUUUUGGUAAUCUGAGGUUUCUUUUUUCUUCUAAGGUUUACCAGAUUUCACCUUUUGUCAGGAGGAGUUUGAGCGUGACUCCCAGCGCUGUGUUAUUUAUAGGGGGGGUCUGGGGUCCAGAGCUGAUGGUUAUGCACGGCUCUGCCAUCACAGGGUAAGACGACACACACCGGGAGGCAGCUGUCGAGCUAAGCUUGGGUUUCACUGAUGUGUGAGAUUGGCGGUGUUUGUUUGUGACAGCAGCGAAGUUGGCAUGAGGGAGCCCCCAGUGGAUUGGGAGAGGGACGUAUUUCCAGUUCUGUGUUGUGAGGGUGUGUUUGUGUGUUGUGAAUGUUAGUAUGCGUGCGUCAGAGGGAGGAACACAGACACUGAAAGGGCACAGCGACCUUUUGUAUACUGUUAAAAUGUAUAAACAUUCUCAAUGUGAAUGUGGGAUAUUUAUACUGGUACGGACGGGUUAAUGUUUUAGGAACGAAAGGAUGCCACACAACUGUGGGUUUCUACAGUGCCAUUAUUUCAGACAAAGCUACUGAUGUAGCUAGAGAGAGUAUGUCGUGUGACAUAAAAGAUACAUCUCAUGCAAAAAGCAAAUUUAUCAAAUUAAAUGUUAAUGCGUUGUAAAAAAAAAGAAUAUAACACAACAUUAAUGUGGAUUUGUGCAUUUUGCCUUUUGGAAAG